rnacentral:lncRNA from 1 species
AUAUAAGUUGAUUUUAAGUUUGAUGAAUUUUUUUUGGCUAUUUAGUUAGUUAUUUGAUUUGGUUAUGAUUUGGAAAACUUCUAAAAGACUUCUCAAACAGACUUCCAGACGACUUUCCAAGAAGUCUUCUGACAUAUUCCCGCUAAAAUUUUAGUAGAAUUUUAGUUUUUCGCCUAAAGCAAAGUCUUCGAAAAUUCUUCUCAUGUAUUUGAUUUUAGGGUCUAGAAGACUUCCCAAAGAGUCUUACGUAUCGAAAAUAUUUAACCUAAUUGGAAAUUUUAUCUCCAUAUAUAAAGAAAUUUUACACAUUAUUUUUCUUUCUCUCAAAUGGCUACAACAAAAAUAUAAUAUUUUUCACUCUAAAACUCUCAAACCUCUCUUUAAUCUCUUUGAACAUCAAAACACCAAACUUUAAAUCCAUUUCUCAUUUUUUCCUUAUGUUUUCUCACUAAUUUAUCUUCUUUUUUUUUGCAGAUUUUUCAUUACAUGGUUCUCAUCUUUCACUCCUUCAAACGUAGAUCUAUAAAUU